UUCCAGAAGAUUUUGAAGAGGACAUUCUGGAGAUACAUUUCACAGAGCCAGCAGAAGGCAGUCCCAGGCCAGCUGGGAUCCUCAGGAAGAUCCCCCUGGAUGAGCUCCCAGCAGCCUCCCAGUCCUGCUGGCAGCUGUAGGACACCAUGGUCCUGCCUGCAGACCAACAGGACUGAAGGAAAACCAUCUACCCCAACAAUACACUGAGCAGGAGUCACUGACAGUACCUACAAGUAACUGGAUAAAAACUGUAAAUGAAAUUGGAAGUAAUUUUUGCGAACUAUGAAGAAAUUGCUUUGGGUCACACAUGAGGAGUUUUUUCAAACAGAAGAGAAGCCACUGGGGAGGUUUCAGCCUUUGACACCACAGUCACCAGAGACCUGAAGCUGAGCUCAUGGCUUGCAAGAGCAGCUGUGUGGAUGCCAGAGAAACCCAGCCUACCUCCUGUCCUCACUCCCACCCUGGUUGUUGAAGGUUUUGGUGUUUUGGAUGGUCGUAAAGCCAUGAUUGUCACCAGGAGGCUCCCCAUGCCUGUUAUGAGCAGAACCCAUGGUGUGGGUGAGUGCUCGAGGCUCUGCUAAAAUGUAAUGGUGCCUACAGUGGUGUAAAGCUCUGAAAAAACUCCCUUUACCUCUGGCUACAGUGGCUGAAUGCAGAGCUUGGGAGCUCUGAGUUUCCUCCAGACUUUACUUUCAACACAGAUCAUGCCAAGGUAUCUCUUAUGCUGAGCUUCCUAACUGACCUGUGCUGUGUGAAAAACCCUUUCACAUCUCCAAAGAGAAAGUGCUUAAGAACAUCAGAUUGAAUAUCUUAAUUGAAUGUGGCCUCUUGAUUAGAAAAGAGGGAUCUCAGACUGCACCCCCUGUUCUAAAUAGAAGCCCAGGGCAUUUGGAAGGAGGUCGCUGAUUUUAUCAUCAAUGCUGAAUAAUGAUCUUGCCACCAAAGGGGCAGUUUUGAUUUGUCUAUCCAGGCAGAUAACCACAGAGCUACAUGUGUUGAUCUCACCCUUUUAUUUUCAUGAGGAGGUGCUGAUGGCAGCUGGCACCCAGCUGACCCUGCUGCCCGAGGU